GAUGAACGCUGGCGGCGUGCCUAAUACAUGCAAGUCGAGCGAACAGACGAGGAGCUUGCUCCUCUGACGUUAGCGGCGGACGGGUGAUUAACACGUGGAUAACCUACCUAUAAGACUGGGAUAACUUCGGGAAACCGGAGCUAAUACCGGAUAAUAUAUUGAACCGCAUGGUUCAAUAGUGAAAGACGGUUUUGCUGUCACUUAUAGAUGGAUCAGCGCCGCAUUAGCUAGUUGGUAAGGUAACGGCUUACCAAGGCGACGAUGCGUAGCCGACCUGAGAGCGUGAUCGGCCACACUGGAACUGAGACACGGUCCAGACUCCUACGGGAGGCAGCAGUAGGGAAUCUUCCGCAAUGGGCGAAAGCCUGACGGAGCAACGCCGCGUGAGUGAUGAAGGUCUUCGGAUCGUAAAACUCUGUUAUUAGGGAAGAACAAAUGUGUAAGUAACUAUGCACGUCUUGACGGUACCUAAUCAGAAAGCCACGGCUAACUACGUG
rnacentral:rRNA from 1 species